CGAAAGAUUUGAUCCAGUUACUUAUUAGGAUGAUAUAUAACAAUAUAUAUAUAUAAAUUUAUAUAUAAAAAUAAUAUAUAUAUAAAUUGAUUAAAAAUAAAAUCCUUAAAUAGUGAAAAUAAUGAUAUUAACUACCAUAAUAUUAUUAUGGAUAUAAUAUAUUCUAUAUAUUAUAUUUUAAUAGUCCUAACCAAAAUUUGUGCCAGCAGCUGCGGUAAUACAAUGGGGGCUAGCGUUAAUCAUAAUGGCUUAAAGGGUCCGUAGAAUUAUUUAAAAAUAAAUUAGAGUUAAUAAAUUUAAUUAAAGAAUUAUAAUAGUAAAGAUGAAAUAAUUAUAAUAAUUAUAAGACUUAUAUAUGUGAAAAUAUUAAUUAAAUAUUAACUGACAUUGAUGGACGAAAGCUAGAGUAGCAAUACGGAUUCGAUACCCGAGUAGUUCUAGCUGUAAACUAUGAACACCAUAAUUUAUUUAUUUAAAAUAAAUUAUAAAUGAAAAUGUAAGUGUCCGC
rnacentral:rRNA from 1 species